UUCCUGUGGUUUAUGAUCACAUGAUGUGUUUCCUCUGGUUUAUGAUCACAUGAUGUGUUUCCUCUGGUUUCUGAUCCCUUCAGUCAGUCGGAUGUGAAACACUUUGAAGAUCGUUUUAAAGAACUCGAUCGUUUUUAGCUCCAGUUUGUCAGAAUAACAGAAGUUUAACUUUCCUGCAGCUUUUUGAAGGCCACAAACCUCUGAACUCUGCUCGGUAAUGAGAGCGUUUUCGAUGUGAGGGCGUCCAUCUUUAAAUCUCUUAAUGCACACACACACCCGUCAGCUGUCCUGUUGCCAUGACAACACCCACCCCUGCCUUCACAUCCCCUCGUUCAUUAAGGACGAGCCGGAGGCGUCGUCAGGAGCCUUAAUGAGGCCCCCAGCGGUGAGAUGCCGGCUGCUCGGUUUCAUUAAACCAUUAAACCACCAGAGCCACCAACCACCACCGCACUGCCCCCCUGCUGGUCUGAGACUACGCUGGGCCCCCCUGCAGAGAGAGGAGGAGGACGACCACAAACAGACUCCCUGCAGACAGAUAACGAUUUAAACAGAUUUAAACUCACUUCAGUCAGAAAGGAAGCCUCACACACACACAUCUGUCAGACCGUGUUGUAGCUCCACCUCCUGCCUGCAGGUGUUUUUCACCCGCAGAUGAAGUGAUCAUCGCUUCAUAGACCCACCCACCCUGCGGUAGGGGGUCUAUGAACCACGACCCUUUGGAUACCUCGGAGAUAUUGCCAGCCCAGUUCCGGGCUGGAGCAGAUACGAAGCUAUUUGCACUGGGGUCAGCUAGCUGGAGGCCUGCGUGUCAAGGUUGGCUAGCGGGCUGCAGGCUAAAUGCUAGCAGCUAGGCCAGACCAGAGACUGGUUGGUAGCAGGCCGGACCAGAGACUGGUUGGUAGCAAUAGCAGGCCAGACCAGAGACUGUCGGUAGAAGUCCAGACCAGAGACUGCCGGUAGCAGGCCGGACCAGAGACUGCCGGUAGCAGGCUGGACCAGAGACUGCCAGUAGCAGGCCGGACCAGAGACUGCCGGUAGAAGUCCGGACCAGAGACUGUCGGUAGCAGGCCGGACCAGAGACUGUCGGUAGCAAUAGCAGGACGGACCAGAGACUCUUGGUAGCAGGCCAGACCAGAGACUGUUGUUCUCUACUGUCUGCCUGCUACCAUGUUGGACACAUGUUUUUGUUCCAUUGUGUGAAUGUUUAAAGAAAAUAUAGAGACAUAUACAGGAAACGGGGUGUGACAGCCGACGUGUGUCCCAGCAUGCACUGGUCCAGAGGCGGGGUCCGACAGCUGCAUGCUGGUGUGAUGACUAAACAACGUUUGGUUCUGUGGUUUUGUCUUUCAGUAACUGGUCCACUGGCCGAGUCCCAGAUCGCGUACAUUCUACGGGAAACACUGCAGGGACUCUUCUACCUGCACAGCAAAGGAAAAAUGCACAGAGACAUUAAGGGGGCGAACAUCCUGCUGACUGAUAACGGAUACAUAAAACUAGGUAAGUGUCACUCACCUGUCAGGGUUAGUAACGUCAUGAACAGACCCCGCCCACUGACCGGUUCCCCAGGAGGUAAUGGGCGGGGCUUGUGAUGAAGUGCAGUGUGAGGAAAUGAUGAGUCGUGGUUACAUAGUGUUGACCUGUCCUCUAGCACACACUCAUUACUGGACGUCACGAGACGAGUUGCAGAUCUACUGAUGUCUGUCUCUGAUGAAUCAAGUAGAAUGAGUUGAAUGCAUCAGUAAUAAUAUUAUUUUAAUAUUUCUACUUUACAUCAGGUUUUAUAGAUUGUUUAAUUAGUGUUUUUGUUAAAAGCUAAAUAUUUUUCAUGCUCACCAGAACGUUAAAUAAGUUCUGACUUCAGAUGAGUGAAGUUUUUAAGUUUUAACUGAUGAGAGACACUAAAUAUAUACGAGUGAUGAAGGCGCUGUGGGGAAUAUUUACCAAAGCUCAUGCACAUCACUGAGUAUCUACUGAGACUCUAACUCAGAUCUGAUGUUUAUGAAGCAUGUUGAGCUGCUGGACUUCAAAUAUCAAGAGUCAGACAUGUUUUAUAUUUUGAUGUUUUAAAGCUGAACUUUUAAACUCUUCUAACUCAAAAGAUAAUACAACAUUCUGCUUCAUAAUAUUUAUAUUUAUAUGCAUUUACUUUAUACAUAAAGCACUUUUUCAUUCCCUCAUCUGAACAUUAAUAAUACACAAUGCAUGACACCAAACACACUCACACACACACUCACACUCACACUCUCACACACAC